rnacentral:tRNA from 1 species
GGUGGGUUGGCAGAGCGGUUUAAUGCACCGACCUCAAAAUUCGGCGACCUUUCGCGAGGUCCGUGGGUUCAAAUCCCACACCCACCGCCA